rnacentral:rRNA from 1 species
GAUGAACGCUGGCGGCGUGCCUAACACAUGCAAGUCGAGCGAUGAAAUUAGAAACGGAGUCUUCGGACGAAGUGGAAAAUGGAUUAGCGGCGGACGGGUGAGUAACACGUGAGCAACCUGCCUAUCACAUCGGGAUAGCCUCGGGAAACUGGGAUUAAUACCGAAUGAAACAUAAUCACUGCCUAGUGGAAAUGUCAAAGAUUUAUCGGUGAUAGAUGGGCUCGCGUCUGAUUAGCUAGUUGGUGAGGUAAUGGCUCACCAAGGCGACGAUCAGUAGCCGGCCUGGGAGGGUGAACGGCCACAUUGGGACUGAGACACGGCCCAAACGCCUACGGGAGGCAGCAGUGGGGAAUAUUGCACAAUGGAGGGAACUCUGAUGCAGCGACGCCGCGUGAGCGAUGAAGGCUUUCGAGUCGUAAAGCUCUGUCGAAUGGGAAGAUAAUGACGGUACCAUUUGAGAAAGCCCCGGCUAACUACGUGCCAGCCGCCGCCGUAA